rnacentral:rRNA from 1 species
UACGAAGGGGGCUAGCGUUGCUCGGAAUCACUGGGCGUAAAGGGUGCGUAGGCGGGUCUUUUAAGUCAGGGGUGAAAUCCUGGAGCUCAACUCCAGAACUGCCUUUGAUACUGAAGAUCUUGAGUUCGGGAGAGGUGAGUGGAACUGCGAGUGUAGAGGUGAAAUUCGUAGAUAUUCGCAAGAACACCAGUGGCGAAGGCGGCUCACUGGACCGGAACUGACGCUGAGGCGCGAAAGCGUGGGGAGCAAACGGG